rnacentral:rRNA from 1 species
UACGGAGGGCGCUAGCGUUGUUCGGAAUUACUGGGCGUAAAGCGCUCGUAGGCGGCUUUGUAAGUUAGAGGUGAAAGCCCGGGGCUCAACCCCGGAAUUGCCUUUAAGACUGCAUCGCUUGAAUCCAGGAGAGGUGAGUGGAAUUCCGAGUGUAGAGGUGAAAUUCGUAGAUAUUCGGAAGAACACCAGUGGCGAAGGCGGCUCACUGGACUGGUAUUGACGCUGAGGUGCGAAAGCGUGGGGAGCAAACAGG